CAGUCGACGAUGAAAGAGAUCCGAUCUCUUCGGAGUGAAGAAUCUCUGGAUUAGUGGCGGACGGGUGAGUAACGCGUGAGCAAUCUGCCUUACACAAAGGGAUAGCCUCGGGAAACCGGGAUUAAUACCAUAUGAUAUCUAUUAACCGCAUGGUUUAUAGAUUAAAGAAUUUCGGUGUAAGAUGAGCUCGCGUCCCAUUAAUUAGUUGGUGAGGGUAACGGCCCACCAAGAUAGCGAUGGGUAGCCGAUCUAAGAGGAUGACCGGCCACAUUGGAACUGAGAAACGGUCCAAACUCCUACGGGAGGCAGCAGUGGGGAAUAUUGCACAAUGGGGGAAACCCUGAUGCAGCGACGCCGCGUGAGCGAUGAAGGCUUUCGAGUCGUAAAGCUCUGCCCUAUGGGAAGAUAAUGACGGUACCAUAGAAGAAAGCCCCGGCUAAUUACGUGCCAGCAGCCGCGGUAAUACGUAAGGGGCGAGCGUUGUCCGGAAUUAUUGGGCGUAAAGAGUGCGUAGGCGGCAAAUUAAGUCAGAUGUGAAAACUAAGGGCUCAACCCAUAGAUUGCAUCUGAAACUGAUAUGCUUGAGUCAAGGAGAGGAAAGUGGAAUUCCUAGUGUAGCGGUGGAAUGCGUAGAUAUUAGGAGGAAUACCGGUGGCGAAGGCGACUUUCUGGACUUGAACUGACGCUGAGGCACGAAAGCGUGGGGAGCAAACA
rnacentral:rRNA from 1 species